rnacentral:lncRNA from 1 species
UGAUGUGAUGACUUCCCUAUCAAUGAAAACAAAGAAUUCAGAGAGACAAAACAAAGAGAAAUAUUACAAAUGGUGCCAAGAAUAUUACAUCAACUUGUAAACUCGCAAUCGAGUCAGGAUGUACUAUUCUUUUUUACUUGAUCAGGUAGUGCUAGUACCAUAAGGUAAAACCCGUAUGUAGUUUUUUAAAUUUUAUAGCCUAGUCAAAAUAGCUCACAAGGAAAGAAUAAUAUCAAAUAUUAAAAGCGACAUGGAGAAGUGAAAUCUCUCAAUCAAAGUUAUUGUAUGGUUUUUACUCAAGUUUUAAUGAGUAAAUAAUCAAACAGAUACAGCUUAACUCCUAACUCAAAACACAACGAAAUGAGAUCAAACAAUAUAGGACAACAAGAAAAUCCAACCUCUUUUGGCUUUCUUCUCUUUUUUUAUUUUUAUUUUAUAAUUUCCAGUAUAUUCCAACAUCAAAUCCAAAGAAACCCGACAAUGUUCAGAGCAGCACAUUUGAGAGAGUUGUAAAAGAGUUCAAGCGUUUAUUAGGGGAAAUUAGAAAUAACAAUAGGAAAGUAUAUCAAAUACUAUAGCAAAAGGUCCGCAUGCAUCCUACUCUCCCCAAACCCCACUUGUGGAAUUACACUACGUAUGUCAUUGUUGUUGAAUCAAAUACUAUAGCAGUGCAUUUAAUUGCACUCUAAGGACCACAGUUGUAGUUCAAUUGUACUGCUUCACAUGCAGUCACAUGGCAUGGAAAAUGUUAUGUCUAUAAUGUACAGCCUUCUGGGUUCAUAAAAUGUAAAUAUGCUGCCAACCAAAGGAAAUUUUAAAACACCGAUCACCACGUAGGAACAGAAAAUUGGUAAUUCUGGGCAACUCUAAAUGAGUUAGAACCACAAUAAAACCUCAACUUUGCAACCGAAACAUAUUUGUCAGUGCUCCAAGCAUUCUGUUUCUCCUUCCCCUAACGUUGAUAUUUAAUGUAAAGCAAUUGGAAAUCUAUUCAUAAAAAACUAAGGGUACUCUUAAUAAGCAAACGUAGUGUAAAAAUGCAUAAACAGGAUAAUUGUAUGAAGAACAGUUCAAACAGGGAAAGUUGACAGGCAUAGACAAAAACAUUGUCCGCUCUAAUUGUGACCAAACAUUCUGCUAAGUCGCGGUCUUCACAACAGAGGAAAAAUAAAUUCCCGCAGCAUAGAAAUGUAACUUCCUUUAAUCUCUGCACAUAACUGUGGUCUGUUGUUUCUGAAAAGGAUAUCUCAGAUCUUCUAUGCCUUAGAGAACAUGACCAUUAAGAACAUCUGAAGAAUAUUUCUAACUACACUAUUGAAUAAUACUUUGAACGGGAAUAAAGAGGUGCAAAGAGAAGAGGUGAAUAUUAAAGAGUGCAGUUGUCCUAGGAUCCACGAGACAAGCAAAGGACAGGCCAGAUAACCAUGAUAGUACCAUCCCUCUCUAAAUUAAUGGAAAGAACUGAUGUAUACCUCAGAAGAGAAAAAUAGUUAAGAGGACGGCUUUGAUGAUUUAGUCAUAUAAGAUUAUACAGGCAUCUGCAAUUGAAAAGAUGGAGUGAUAGGCAAGACACUUACCCUUUAAGAGGAGACAAAGGCAUAUAAACUUAAUUUUUUGAAAAAUAAAACAAAAAAGGUAAUGGAUGCUCAGCAAGAACAAAUUUCAACUCUAACUGGGAAGCUAACAAAUCAUAUUACGGUUUCUAUCUCUCAGCCUCGCUGAUAUAUCACAAAACCCAAAGCAGAAACACAGUAAGAUAUAGUAUUUGAUAUUUGACACCAUUCAUUUUUUCUGUGGAAAACGAGGUAGUUAACAGAAAGGGACAUAUAGGAACAGAAGCUGCUCCUUGGGCUAGCUUGUUGAACGACAACAGCCGUUACUUUCCGGAUUUCUUGUAUGCAGCAAUUAUCUGGCUCAUCUGCUCACAGUUGCAGGUCGAGACUAAAAGUAAAAUCGCUAUCUAUGUUGGUUGCAAAAAAUGAAGAGAUCAGAGAAUUGUAUAGCUCAGUGACAAUACACCAAUGUGAAAUGCCGUCCCAAGCAGAACUUGUAUUCUCAAGAGCGAGCAAAAUAGAAGUUAAAGAUUCGCAUUAAGUGCAACUUAAUCCUUAGGGAGGCUUAGUCUAUUAUUAGAAAAAAUUCUCAUCCGAAGCAUAUGCCAGAAAAGAGCACUAUCAGAGAAGUAGAAAACCAUUAAUACCACUAGAAAUACUGCUUUAGAUGGAAGAACUGCAUGUUUCUUGCAUAAUAUGACUUGAAUGACAUUAAUACUUGGAACAACGGAAAAAAUUAUUUGAAAGGCAUUACCAAAAGUUUAACACUCUCUUUCCCUGAAACAGAUUAUGAUCUACUGUAGAGAUUACAUAUCAGUAAAAAAAGUAUAGAUCAGAGAAGAACAAAACGCUUGAGGAGAUGUUCAUUCUAGAACAUGUCAAUAACAUAUAACAUAGGUGAUACAACUGAGCUCAUUAGAUUUCAACAAGAAGAGUGAAUAGAGAGCACGUCCAGUACAUAUAAAUCCACUGCUUUAUCAUCUGGAAGUGUUGAAGUAAUGCUUAGUCAAAAGUCAAUCAGUACCCACAGGAAAAAAAACUUGGAUAGUACCUAAUUUUACAAAAGGUGAAUGCAGAACAUCAGCCUAUUCAAAGAGAAGAAAAAUGCAAAACAGGAAACAAAGUUGAAAAAAAAGACAAUUAUGAGAAUUGAGACACUUACUAAGAAUACAGAAAGGAUAAUGCUCACCAGCUGGUUGGCAGCAAACCUCAUCAACAUGUUUGAUGUCACCAAAUCCCAUGGACAAUGCCACCAUUAUGUAGUUUUCCAAUAGCAUCACCAAUCAGUUCAUCUGUGAUGGUUUCUUCAAUAAUCUCAAGUAAACCAAACCAAGGAAUAUAUUUUCAUGAGGGACCUUCAACAUACUCAAAGGUGAGAUGUGUAGCAGCGUCAAUAGCAUAUUGCUUUGAGUAUGCACCUGGCCUCCUACUCCGUUAUUCAAAAUUGUUAGCAGCACAACUUUGAGGUAUGAAGAGACUAAAGAAUACAACUGGUAUCAUUUACACCAACCCAUUUAAGUCUUCACGAGUAAGCUUUGAUUCCACAGUUAGAUGCCUGUAUUUCUUUGUAAACAAUGGACCUC